AUGAACGCUAGCUACAGGCUUAACACAUGCGAAGUCGAGGGGCAGCAUGGUCUUAGCUUGCUAAGGCCGAUGGCGACCGGCGCACGGGUGAGUAACACGUAUCCAACCUGCCGUCUACUCUUGGACAGCCUUCUGAAAGGAAGAUUAAUACAAGAUGGCAUCAUGAGUUCACAUGUUCACAUGAUUAAAGGUAUUCCGGUAGACGAUGGGGAUGCGUUCCAUUAGAUAGUAGGCGGGGUAACGGCCCACCUAGUCUUCGAUGGAUAGGGGUUCUGAGAGGAAGGUCCCCCACAUUGGAACUGAGACACGGUCCAAACUCCUACGGGAGGCAGCAGUGAGGAAUAUUGGUCAAUGGGCGCAGGCCUGAACCAGCCAAGUAGCGUGAAGGAUGACUGCCCUAUGGGUUGUAGACUUCUUUAUAAAGGAAUAAAGUCGGGUAUGUAUACCCGUUUGCAUGUACUUUAUGAAUAAGGAUCGGCUAACUCCGUG
rnacentral:rRNA from 1 species